rnacentral:rRNA from 1 species
UAGAGUUUGAUCCUGGCUCAGAUUGAACGCUGGCGGCAUGCCUAACACAUGCAAGUCGAACGGCAGCACAGGUAGCAAUACCGGGUGGCGAGUGGCGGACGGGUGAGGAAUACAUCGGGACCUGCCCAGACGUGGGGGAUAACGUAGGGAAACUUACGCUAAUACCGCAUACGUCCUACGGGAGAAAGCGGGGGAUCUUCGGACCUCGCGCGGUUGGAUGGACCGAUGUUCGAUUAGCUAGUUGGUGAGGUAAUGGCUCACCAAGGCGACGAUCGAUAGCUGGUCUGAGAGGAUGAUCAGCCACACUGGGACUGAGACACGGCCCAGACUCCUACGGGAGGCAGCAGUGGGGAAUAUUGGACAAUGGGCGCAAGCCUGAUCCAGCAAUGCCGCGUGAGUGAAGAAGGCCUUCGGGUUGUAAAGCACUUUUAUCAGGAGCGAAAUACUACGGGUUAAUACCUCGUGGGGCUGACGGUACCU